ACGACUGCUAAGACUGGAUAGGAGACAAGAAGGCAUCUUUUUGUUUUUAAAAGACCUAGCAAUAGGUAUGCUUAGGGAGGAGCUUGCGUCACAUUAGUUAGUUGGUGGGGUAAAGGCCUACCAAGACUAUGAUGUGUAGCCGGGCUGAGAGGUUGAACGGCCACAUUGGGACUGAGACACGGCCCAAACUCCUACGGGAGGCAGCAGUAGGGAAUUUUCGGCAAUGGAGGAAACUCUGACCGAGCAACGCCGCGUGAACGAUGAAGUAUUUCGGUACGUAAAGUUCUUUUAUUAGGGAAGAAUAAAUGAUGGAAAAAUCAUUCUGACGGUACCUAAUGAAUAAGCCCCGGCUAACUAUGUGCCAGCAGCCGCGGUAAUACAUAGGGGGCAAGCGUUAUCCGGAAUUAUUGGGCGUAAAGGGUGCGUAGGCGGUUAAAUAAGUUUAUGGUCUAAGUGCAAUGCUUAACAUUGUGAUGCUAUAAAAACUGUUUAACUAGAGUAAGAUAGAGGCAAGUGGAAUUCCAUGUGUAGUGGUAAAAUGCGUAAAUAUAUGGAGGAACACCAGUAGCGAAGGCGGCUUGCUGGGUCUUUACUGACGCUGAGGCACGAAAGCGUGGGGAGCAAACAGGAUUAGAUACCCUGGUAGUCCACGCCGUAAACGAUGAGUACUAAAUGUUGGGUAAAACCAGUGUUGAAGUUAACACAUUAAGUACUCCGCCUGAGUAGUACGUACGCAAGUAUGAAACUUAAAGGAAUUGACGGGACUCCGCACAAGCGGUGGAUCAUGUUGUUUAAUUCGAAGGUACCCGAAAAACCUCACCAGGUCUUGACAUGCUUCUGCAAAGCUGUAGAAACACAGUGGAGGUUAUCAGUUGCACAGGUGGUGCAUGGUUGUCGUCAGCUCGUGUCGUGAGAUGUUGGGUUAAGUCCCGCAACGAGCGCAACCCUUAUUGUUAGUUGCCAGCACGUAAUGGUGGGGACUUUAGCAAGACUGCCAGUGAUAAAUUGGAGGAAGGUGGGGACGACGUCAAAUCAUCAUGCCCCUUAUGACCUGGGCUACAAACGUGAUACAAUGGCUGUUACAAAGGGUAGCUGAAACGUAAGUUUUUGGCGAAUCUCAAAAAAACAGUCUCAGUUCGGAUUGAAGUCUGCAACUCGACUUCAUGAAGUUGGAAUCGCUAGUAAUCGCGAAUCAGCAUGUCGCGGUGAAUACGUUCACGGGGUUUGUACACACCGCCCGUCA
rnacentral:rRNA from 1 species